CUGCCCAGUGAUUAAGUUUAAACGGCCGCGGUAUCCUAACCGUGCAAAGGUAGCAUAAUCACUUGCCUAUUAAUUGUAGGCUAGAAUGAACGGAUAAACGUAAUAGACACUGUCUCUAUCAUUACCAUAUAAAUUAACAUCUGUACGAAGAGUUACAGAUAAAAUCGAAGGACAAGAAGACCCUAUAGAGCUUUAUUUUAACUAUGAAGGAAUCAUAUAAAAUUCGGUUGGGGCGACCAAGGGAGUAUUAAACACCCUCAAGUAUAAAGAUUUAUAGAUCCAUAAAAUGACCCUAGUAAGAUCACAAGAAUAAGCUACCUUAGGGAUAACAGGCUAAUUCUAUUAAAGAGUUCAUAUCCACAAUAGAGUUUGGCACCUCGAUGUUGGCUUAGGGUAUCACCUUAGCGCAAAAGUUAAGUCUAGAUGGUUUGUUCAACCAGUAACCCCUA
rnacentral:rRNA from 1 species